GCCAGGCAUUGUUUACCUCAGUUGGUAGAGCCUGAGACUCUUAAUCUCAGGGUUGUGGGUUCGAGCUCCAUGGUGGGCA